AGAGAUGUGUGAUGACGCAUAUCAAUAAGCGGAGGAAAAGAAACUAACAAGGAUUCCCUUAGUAACGGCGAGUGAAGCGGGAAGAGCUCAAAUUUGAAAUCUUCAAGGUUCUACCUUGACGAAUAGUAGUUUAUAGAAGUGUUUUCUGUUAGUAGAGGUGGCAAAAGUUCUUUGGAAUAGGACAUCAUAGAGGGUGAGAAUCCCGUAUUUGGUCAUUCUUUCUAGCUUUGUGAUACACUUUCAACGAGUCGGAUUGUUUGGGAAUGCAGUCCAAAAUGGGUGGUAAAUUUCAUCUAAAGCUAAAUAUUGGCGAGAGACCGAUAGCGAACAAGUACCGUGAGGGAAAGAUGAAAAGAACUUUGAAAAGAGAGUUAAACAGUACGUGAAAUUGUCAAAAGGGAAGCGUUUGACACCAGUGUUGUUUUUCCGAAAAUCAAUUACGAAUGUUUUGUUUUUAAGAAGUUAUGACUUCAUCGGCUUGCUUCUUUCUUUAUGAAACUUUCUUAAUGCACUUUUCGGUUAACAAGUCAACAUCAAUUUCUUUUGUUGUAAAAGGGUAUGAGGAAGGUGGCUUUCUUUUCGGAGAAAGUGUUUAUAGCCUUGUGCCUCUGCAAUCGGAGAGAUUGAGGUCUGCAGCGUAGAUCCUUCGGGGUUAGAUAGCAUUUGUGCUAAGUUAUAGCUUUUCAUAGACAACUUGUUGACUAUGAUUAGUCAUUGUAGCUUACUCGCUUAUGUCAUUUUACCUACGCUUAGGAUGUUGAGUCGUAGAGCACGCAG
rnacentral:rRNA from 1 species